rnacentral:tRNA from 1 species
GGAUCAUUAGUUCAGUUGGUUAGAACGCUCGGCUCAUAACCGAGAAGUCGUCUGUUCGAGUCAGACAUGAUCCA